rnacentral:ncRNA from 1 species
CAACAGGGGAGCUUUUUGCUGAGAGGAAGUUCGGCUUCGACCCUAUAACCUGAUCCGGAUAAUGCCGGCGUAGGAAGCUAUAUA